AACGCUGGCGGCGUGCUUAACACAUGCAAGUCGAGCGAUGAAAUUCUCUUCGGAGAAUGGAUUAGCGGCGGACGGGUGAGUAACACGUGGGAAGCUGCCUGCUUGAGGGGGAUAGCGGAGCGAAAGUUCCGAUAAUACCGCGUAAGCCCGAGAGGGGAAAGUGCGGGACCGCAAGGCCGCACGCGAGCAGAUGCGCCCAGAUGGGAUUAGGCAGUUGGGGAGGUAACGGCUCACCAAACCGAUGAUCUCUAGCUGGUUUGAGAGGACAAUCAGCCACAUUGGAAUUGAGAGACGGACCAAACUCCUACGGGAGGCAGCAGUGGGGAAUAUUGCACAAUGGGGGAAACCCUGAUGCAGCCAUGCCGCGUGUGUGAAGAAGGCCUUCGGGUUGUAAAGCACUUUUGCAUUCGAGGAAGACGGCGUAUAAAUAAAUGCGCUAUUUGACGUUAGAGUGUGAAUAAGCACCGGCAAACUCCGUG
rnacentral:rRNA from 1 species